rnacentral:rRNA from 1 species
CCAGACUCCUACGGGAGGCAGCAGUGGGGAAUAUUGCACAAUGGGGGGAACCCUGAUGCAGCGACGCCGCGUGAGUGAAGAAGUAUUUCGGUAUGUAAAGCUCUAUCAGCAGGGAAGAAGAUGACGGUACCUGACUAAGAAGCCCCGGCUAACUACGUGCCAGCAGCCGCGGUAAUACGUAGGGGGGCAAGCGUUAUCCGGAUUUACUGGGUGUAAAGGGAGCGUAGACGGCAGGGCAAGUCUGGAGUGAAAGCCCGGGGCCCAACCCCGGGACUGCUUUGGAAACUGCCAUGCUGGAGUGCUGGAGAGGUAAGCGGAAUUCCUAGUGUAGCGGUGAAAUGCGUAGAUAUUAGGAGGAACACCAGUGGCGAAGGCGGCUUACUGGACAGUAACUGACGUUGAGGCUCGAAAGCGUGGGGAGCAAACAGGAUUAGAUACCCGGGUA